rnacentral:rRNA from 1 species
GACAGAGGCCUCAAGCGUUAGGCGGAAUCACUGGGCUUAAAGCGUGUGUAGGCGGAUCGUUAAGUGCCUUGUGAAAUCCCACGGCUUAACUGUGGAACGGCUGGGCAUACUGGCGGUCUUGAGCCAUCUAGGGGCGACUGGAACAAACGGUGGAGCGGUGAAAUGCGUUGAUAUCAGAAGGAACGCCGGUGGCGAAAGCGACGUACUGGACCUCUUCUGACGCUGAGGCGCGAAAGCUAGGGGAGCAAACGGG